rnacentral:misc_RNA from 1 species
UACUUGAAUUGGUUGCAUUUUGACAGUAAAACCUAUCCAAUCGAACUUCCCCUUCAUUCCUUAUAUGAGAGCAAAACUUGCAAUGCAUACAUUCCAUUUUACUUAUAUUUGGCAUAAAACCCUUAGACUUAAGAGUUAUUCUCCAAAACUUCAAUUUUUUAUUAACUCCUUCAAUAGUUUCAUCCAUUAAAACAAUAUUAUCUGCAAAUAACGUG